rnacentral:rRNA from 1 species
CUACGGGCGGCUGCAGUGGGGAAUAUUGCACAAUGGACGAAAGUCUGAUGCAGCAACGCCGCGUGGAGGAUGACACAUUUCGGUGCGUAAACUCCUUUUAUAUAGGAAGAUAAUGACGGUACUAUAUGAAUAAGCACCGGCUAACUCCGUGCCAGCAGCCGCGGUAAUACGGAGGGUGCAAGCGUUACUCGGAAUCACUGGGCGUAAAGAGCGUGUAGGCGGGUAAAUAAGUCAGAAGUGAAAUCCAAUAGCUCAACUAUUGAACUGCUUUUGAAACUGUAUACCUAGAAUGUGGGAGAGGCAGAUGGAAUUUCUGGUGUAGGGGUAAAAUCCGUAGAGAUCAGAAGGAAUACCGAUUGCGAAGGCGAUCUGCUGGAACAUUAUUGACGCUGAGACGCGAAAGCGUGGGGAGCAAACAGGAUUAGAUACCCGAGUAGUC